CAAAUUUUACCCAACAACACACUAAUAACUUACACACUAACUAAAACAAUGAAACCCUAAAAGUUCAGCGUUCAUCUUCUCGCUCGAACCCUCUCGAACCCUAAAAGCUAAGGCGCCGUCAGCUUCAUCUUCGCGAUCGAACCCAGCCCUGGUCGUGGUGCUGCUCGCCUCUCUCUGUCGCGAUUCUGCUCAGCCUCUCUGUCGCGGUUCUGCUUAGUCUCAUCUUCUCGAACCCAGCACUUGUCGUGGUGCUGCUCGCCUCUCUCUGUCGCGGUUCUGCUCAGCCUCAUCUUCUCGAACCCACCCCUGGUCGUGGUGCUGCUCGCCUCUCUCUGUGUCGCGGUUCUGCUCGCCUCUCAUCCCACAUCUGGCAUUAAGGUGCUGCUGAGUAGUUGGGGAGCAGGUGUUUGCUCAUCCUCUUCACUCUUUGAGCAUCUCUCAAGAGCUAAGCUUCUUUGUUUUUUCUUUUAUCAGAACCAUGUGUUCUUGAAGCUUUCUGGUGGAGGCUCUAUGUGAUGAAGCAAGGUUCUGAGAGCAUUUGGGUUCUAUGCCGUAUUAACUUUGGUUUAUCUUGUAGCUGGGUUGAUUGGAGGUUUUCUGACUUUUUUAAUAUCUGCAUUCAUGCUUCCUGCAUGGGUAUCCUACUGCUUAUCAAUUAAAUCCUUUGGACACCAAUCACUCAGAUCAACUAUGUUUUACAUAUUACCACUAGUUCUAUGCCUUGCCUAUACUGUUUAUUUUGGUGGGUCUUGUCCAGUUUCUAAUAGAGAAGAUGGGCAUGAUGGGUUCUCUUCCUCCUCCAUAUGGCAAUUUUUCCAGUCAGUUUUCUCUUUUCAAAUAGUCUGAAGUUCCCUGCAAAAAGUGAUGAUAUUUUGAAGCAGUAUGAAUUCUUUCCCAUGUUAUCUGUUCAGAAUCAACAUUUAAAUUCUGAAAAGGGACCAAGGAGAGUCCACUUGGAGCUCUAUUUAGGGUGAGUUGAUCAUGGUUAACCUACACAAUCACACACUUAUGUCUUGAUUUAUGGUGAAGAUGAAUGGUCAUUUGGAUUCUGGGAGCAAGUUAUGGUACUGGUAUGUGCUUUCAAAGACAUUGGCUGAAGAUGCUGCUUGAAAAUUUGUUAAAAAAAAAAAAUUAACCCAGCAAUGGUGAUUGGACCUCUUUUGCAACCAGUACUUAACACAAGUGCUGCUGGUGUUUUGAAUGUAACUAAUGAAUAUGAGAAGGCUAUGGAAAGUUAUAAUGCUGUUGAAGCAGGAGGAGACAAUGGAGAAGGAGAAGGAGAUCAUGAAGAGGGCUGAUGAAAAAUAUGAUAAGGAAGAAGCUGCGGCCAGUGAAGACGAGGAGUUUUAAAGCAAAUGGUAGCAGGAGUUCUUCCCACAUCAACUUUUUGUUAAUCAUAGUUCUACUGUAUAUCACUUUUUGGUUUUCCAUCCUUCAUAUCUUUGGGAAUAUUACAGUUUUAAUUCAAAUUAUUAUUAUUAUAGCAUGUAAAUAAUUCAUGUAAAUUAAUAAAAAAUUAAUUCUUAUGCCU